rnacentral:tRNA from 1 species
AAUCCGUCGACUUUAAAAUCGUGAGGGUUCAAGUCCCUC